AUCCUGCUGCUGUCCCAAGCUGGUGCUGGCUGCCCUGCCCUUUCCUGGCUGGGUGCAGACAUGCUGGCCUCUGUGCUCUCAGGGCAGGCGCCAGGGCGGAGCAUGAAGGGACCUCUUGGAUGCCUCCUCCCUCAGAAACAAAUUCCAGUGCCUGAAUGCAGAUGGCGUUCAUCUUAAUGAAGGACAGCACCUAGUCAGCCUCAGGAAAAAGAUCUUGUUUUUUCAUAUCAGAAGGUAAGGGAGGACAGGCCUGUUACUUAGAUGGGGAAAUGGCCCAACAGGUGAGAACUCUGGGAGCAACAAGAUUUGUCUACAAUGCCUGUGGUGCUUCCCUUUCUAGCUAGUGGCCGAUGCUCCGGUUCCUACCAUCAGGAGGGUUGUCUAUGGUAAUAGCCCUGAAAAGGAGACUCUGGGCUAUCUCCCCCACCCCCUGAAACUGCGAAUUUAUUGACUGCCCUUAAAGGCUACAUGGCAAAACAUUUUUUAAAGUUAGAAUUUGAUAGGAAAACAGUUAUCAGCAGGCUGUUUAAAAGGUGCCUUUCCAGCAUUCCAGCAGAGAUUAGGUUUCCCAAAAGCUGACUACGAUCUUUAGCAUAUUUGAGCAAAGAUUUGUUGACUAGUCAAAGCUCAUCGUGAAGGGGCUAGAGAUGCUGGUGAAAUGGAGCUUGUCCUCAGAGUGUCCCUGAAGUGAUUCCAAGCCAGGCUGGGGGAGAGCAGCAAACAAAUGCUCUCAACGAAUAAAUGUUGGCCAGCUACCAUGGCUCACGCAUGUCAUCCCAAGGCUGGACGGGGCUACAUAGUGAGGCCAAUCUCAAACAACAAUAACAAAAUCAAAUUAUAAAUCUACCGAAGGGGAAAACAGAGACAGCGAGAGCUGAAAGGAAUCCAGGCUGAACAUGGAGAGCUUGGGCUGGGGCUGAGCCUCCAUCAAUGAGUGAGUAAACGUUGAUGAGCUAAACUGAAGGAGGGGUUGGGGAGUUCUGGGUCCAGGCAAACAUGGGUACCUGUUGAUUGACAUGUGGAAGAGUAUGUGUCUGUGAGCAAAGAGAAAAGGAACUGGUUAGGGCCUGUGGGUGUGUCUCAACUGGUAGAGAUCCAGUGGUUGCCUGGUAUGCACAAGUCUCUGGGGUCCGAGCCCUAGUGUAUACCACUAACUUUUCCAAGUUCCUUCCUUUCUCUUCUCUCUCUCAGACCCCUUCUCCCCACCAUCUUCCUUGGAACCAAGGAUCAAACCCUGAACCUCACAGAAGCUACGUUGGGCUUUGUGCCCAGUUCUCUUCUUGACAAUUAAUAAUUUAUUGCUUAUUCUUCUCCACACUUCAACCUUUUAUUGUUCAAGUACCGGGCUGGGCUAUUUGAAUGCAGCAUUGCCCAGUUUAUGUAUUUUUUUGGGUUAAUAGUGAUUGCCCCCACACCCCAACAUGGGUGAGAGACUACAAAGCUCUUCUUAGCUGCGGGAAGCCCCAUCUUUGACACUCUUCCUCCUAGGUUUCAAGGGGAUGUGGAAGGGGGUCUUUAUCUUGCAGGUACAAGCAGAGCCAGUACUGGGAAACUUUGUCUUAAAUUUAUUCCAAGAUUCUCUUUUUCACUGAGUUUGGUGCUGAGUAAAUUAAACCUACAUUUCAGUUGACACGGCCUUAUUGGAUGCUCAACAUGACGAGCCCUAGCCUCUCGUUCUUGGGGUUCUAGUAGAGAGGAAUGUAGAUUGAGUUCCUGCCCUCAAAGAAUGGAAGAUUAUGACUGGGAAUUAAGAGUGAGGUGGGCUCAUGUACGUAGCAGGGAGUUACAGCAAGAGGUGCCAAGAGCCGUGACAAGCAUUAUUCUCGACAGCAAAUAAUAGGAUUGUAAUCCUCGCCUGGGUGUUAGAUAAGGCCUCUCCACAGGAAGUGAUAUUUAAGCUGAAAGUGGAGAAGUCAUAUAUGUGAGCCAAAUCGACAGAAGGAAGAAGGGGAAUGUUCCAGGCAGAGGGAUAGCAUGAGGUAAGGAGCUCCCAAGUGUCUGGUUGAAGGGAUUCAACACCGUUGGAGAACACGAUGGGGGAGGAGCAAGGCAAAGGGUAAGGGCGAGAAUAGGAAGGUGGAGGUUGACCUAAGGAAGGCCUUGGCCGACAGUGAAGCAGCUCUGCAGGUGGUUAUGACCGUGGAAGAUUCUAAAAUCCUUCUUGUACUUUUGAGAACAGCCCCUAGCUGAGAGGUAAUAAGAAUUUCUUAGAAUUGCAUUGGCUAGGGUCAGCAAGAUGGCUCAGUGGGUAAAAACAUACGCUGCUAAGCCUGAGGACGUGAGUUUGAUCACGUGGUGGAAGGAGAGAGUUGACACUCACAAGUUGUCCUCUGGUUCCACAUAGUCACCUUGGCAUGUGCUCAUAUGUAAGAACGUGCCCAUACAUAGGCACUUCUCUCCCUCCCCCAAGCCCCCCCCCACAUUUUGGCUAUAAACUGACAGUUUACUUUGUACUUGGAUAUCAAAAUCAGACCAGGCCACAGGGCAUAAGUGUCUGUGAAUAAGUUCAAGAAAUAUCAGAUAUGGGAAGGAAGGAGGGAAAAGAGACAUUAGUAAAAGGUGAGCUAGUAAGGUGGGUAACAACAGUUAGGGGGAAAUGUUUAGCACAGCAGUUCUCAACCGUCCUAGUGCCACGACCCUUUAAUACAGUUCCUCAUGUUGGAGUGACCUCCCAACCAUAAAAUUACUUUCUUUUUGCUCCUUCAUAACUGUAAUUUUGAUACAAUUAUGAACCAUUAUGUAAAUAUCUGAUACACGACAAGCAGGCUGAGAACUGCUGGUCUAGCAGGUCUCAGAGUUACCACACACAGGGUCUAGAAACUGGAGCUUCCGAUUCCUGUCAGGGUCAGGCUGAAAGCCACAUAGAGGUGGGACGUUCAGUUUCUGGAGCUUCUGGUGUGUCAAAUGAGAAUAUGCAUAACACGGCCAUCAGGCAUAGAGAAAAUGAGGGUGAGAGAAAUGUGAAUAGGCAGGUGUUUGGAAGACUGGUCAUGCACGAAAAUAGCUAGGGACAAGGGUCAGGCACAGAAAUAUCUGCUGCACAAUUUUGGGUCCAAGUAUGAGCUUUUGUGCCAUAAUAUACCAUACUGGCUCGUUUUUACCAAAAGAGAAGGACCCAAAUUUAAAGCUGGCCUGUGAAACAUAAUGAUACCCAUUUGUAAAAAAUCAAAACCAGCCAAUAAACCCGACAAAUAGAGGGGUGUGAUUGUUGGAUUCUGAGGUCUAGAAGACCAACAUGCAGACCAUUGCACUGUAGUACCCCAGAACCAUCUUGCAGUCUCUAGGGGAUCUGUUUCUGGUAUAAACGUAGCAAGAAGACACUACAGAGCCUUGAGCUGCGUGGCCCUGUGCUGGCCAACACUUGGACUCUGAGCAGACGCUUACCUCAAUACCAUGCAUAGAGCACUACUCAUUCUAGAAAUAACAGGUGCCCAUAUUUUUCUUUUCUCUUCACUUAGGAGGUACACCCAUAGUGCCAACAACUAAUUAUCAUACCAAGAAAACAAAAACUGUGAACUCGAGCGGGGCGGGCUGCAAACACCGUAGAGUUGUACAAACGGUGACUCACUCUCACUGGAGGCUGCCACAUCUUCAGAGCCUCUCUCUCUCUCUCUCUCUCUCUCUCUCUCUCUCUCUCUCUCUCUCUCUGAGAACACCCAGAAUCCUUUGUCAAAGAAAGGUAGACAGCAUACCUUUCUGUGCAUCUGACCUCGAAAAGAUCCCUCCCGUACCUCUUGUCUUCUCUGAGAGGCUUUCGGCCCCACCUCCCAGUGAACUUUCCAAGGAAUUCUUGGCUUCCAAGUUGCUAUUCUGGCUUGCUGGUUACGCAGAAAAUCUUUUCUAUUGCGUAUAAGGCAAUUAAAGGGUAAGCUCAGAGUCUGGCAUGUUUCUUUUAAAGCGAAAGCCAGGAGCAUAUGUUUGACUAGAGGCAGCCUCCUGUAAAAAUAACUCCUAUUAGUGGUGUUAUAAGAGCCACUGAAACCCUGCUGGCUUGCUGUUCCUCUGGAGCCAUCCCGUGCCCUCCUGAGGCCCUUUGUGAGAUCCUUUCUUUGAUAUGUGGUGGACAAACCUGUUCCUUAGGUGCCAGCACAGCGACUCCCUGCAGAAGAGUCUGUAAUUCUCUGAAAGGUGGCUGAAUUUUUAGGACACGCUGAGGGGACAAGUUGGAGAUGCGUUUAAAUUGUUCGUACUCUUUCUUGCUGGCUGUAAAGCCAAUCUUUCUCCAUUGAUUCAGAUGGCUACGAAAUGCUCGACUUUUAUGAUUUAUUUUUCUAGGCUGCUACAUUUCUUAUUCUGUCUUGUUUGAAAGGGUUUUUAGACUGUGUAGUGACCCCUGAGACCACAGAGUUUCAGUUAAGCAGGGGAUUUUAAAGAAAGGUCCUCACCAGAAGGACCCGUGGGGCUGUGGAGAUGGCUCGGCCUGUCGUGCAUGCAUGAGGACCUAAGUGUAGAAGCCUACCACUGAGCUAAAUCCCCAACCCCAACCCUGAACUCUUAUCCAUCCUGUCUCCACCUUGAAAGCUGCGUGAUCCUUUUGAUUCAGACAAAAUAAUAAGUUGAUUAUAAUGCAGUUUCAGACAGUAUUGCCAAUUACUGUUCACUCGCUGUCUUAAAGUAGAAAGGAAAACAUCACAGAGUUGCAGAGAUCCUUGCAAACUACAGCUAUGUUCUAGAUGUUUCUUUAUUUUUCAGAGUUAGUUUUGCGGACAGGUUUACCUGAGUUGACUAUAUAGUCCUGUAGCUUAGAAACCUCAGGGGGUGUUAAACUGAGCAUCUAGAUGCACUGGCUCUAAAGAAGCAAUUGCAAGUUCUGAUGUGAGUGGAGGGUUACAUAAGCAAUUGCCCAAAGUGUCCAAUGUCAGGACCAUUGGGAUUUAGUUCAGAUGGUAGACUGUUAGCCUAGCAAGCAUUAAGUCUCUGGUACUGCAUAAGACAGGGUGUGGUAGGGCAUGCCUGAAAUCUCAGCACUUGGGAGAUAGAGGCAGGAGAAUCAGGAGUUCAAGGCCAUCCUCAGCUACACAUGGAGGUUGAGGCUAGCCUGGGAUAGGAGGAGGAUGUCUUUGGGGAUGGUGUGGAAAAGGCUUGAGAUGGACCACAGGUAUUUGUGAGGAAGUGCCCUAAGACAUGUAUGAAUGGGAAAGUUGAAUGGAAGGUCCCAGUUCCCAGGAUCUGAAAACACAGCCUAACAGGAUCCCACCCAGGACUGCAGAGUUCUGAGUGCCAGGCAGGAACAGUGGCACCGUAAGGAACAGGAUCACCUGUGUGGGACAUGACAUGAUCUGCUCCCUUAGGAACUAAGUUGAUUACGGCUGCUAAGUCGGAGUAAACUCUGACUAGUUUUUAUGACUGAAAUGAUAUAGUCCCUUUAAAGUCAUAUGUGCUCUCCUCCAGCAAUGGAUAUGAGAAGGCUCUUCACAGAUGUCGGGUGUCACAAGUGAAACCUACUUUGAAAAGGUUUACAAAGUUCACUAAAGAAGGGUCCCCAUCCUCAGCUCCGAAAAAAAAAAAAAGAAUUUAUAUAAAGAAGGGUCCCCAAAGUAAAUUGAAGAAAUCCUCAGAUCUUCUGGUUAAGAACUUAGAAGUUGGCAAUGCCUCUCUUUAAACCUAGUACAGAUAAAAAAAGGGCUGAAAAGCACAACUGGGUUCCCUUUGAGAAAGGACUAUUUUCAGAUGACCUGGAUGAACAGCCAAGGAACCAAACCCCUUAAAUAAAAAUGUAUUGACUUAAUGUAGUACAUAAUUCUAUACAUUAAAAAACAAAAAGAACUAAGUUGGGUAGGUCAGUCGCCUGUCCAAGGAAUGAGCCCUCAGGAAGAUGGGCUCGCUCCAAACUAUGCUAGAGGUAGAGGGAUCUUUAGCCCUUUAAUGAGAUCAUUAUUUUCUUUCCCAUAAUGACUGUGCCUGCCCUAAGCGCAGUCGCCCCUGAGCUCACAAAGGGUUCUGUUGGGCUGCGCUCGCUCGUGAGUCCUGACCUGGGAAGGUACCACUUUCCCUUUUUCUGGUGAAUGUUGGCCAGGUCCUACGCAUGCUCCACUGCUGCAUGGGGCUUUUCACUCUUUCUCCAAUCCACCUUCCACCAUGCUGCUUGUCUAUCACAUGGCUAACUGACCUCCAUAUUGCUUUAACUCAAACAGCGUGGUCUUUUCUUUCUUUUCUCUUUUCCCUGUGGGUGGCUGCCAAGAUAACAGCUUGCCCACUCUGGUUUUUUCUUUUAAAUGCUGAUAAAAUUGACUUUGGGUUUUUCUUUGAGUUUGUUCUUAGGUUUUUUUAUCAAAGAAACUAAGAAUCCCAUUGGGGUGGGUGAUUGGGGGUGAGGGACCUUGAUUUCCCUGGUGACAUGUGUCAACCUGGAUGGGUCUUCCGGAAAUGUCUGGUAACACAAGUGUCAGUUCAUUAGGGGUUCCAGCCAACAGCCCUAGUUCUAAUCUGGCUGUCUUGUAUGGUCCUUCGGCAAGGACUGACAGGCCAACAUGACCACCCUGGAGUGUUUGUCACAAGGUCCUCAGAGCAGUCUGCCUAGGACUAUAUUCCCUGCUCCCCAUGUUCACAUAUACUCAUGCUGCUAGAACAUGGGGUGACCUGAAGGUCUGAAUUGUUGCUUCACUUCUCAGUGUGCUCAGACACAGCUCAGAAUUAAGCUAAGAGGGUCCAGCUGGCCAUAGACAUAGAGUGUGUAUUUUAUAGCUACAGACACAGUCCUGUCACAAACCAGGCCUGAGUACUUACUUUGUACUUGGCAGAUAGGGAUUGGGGUGGGGAGCUAGAUAUGGGCUUCUUGUUUUCCUCUACCAGCUGGAUCCUCUACGGGUUGGAUCAUUUGCAUAGCCCCUCUGUUAAAUAAAAGAGCUCAACCUGGGUGGUUCCAGAAAUCUGGAAGCUGAGGUUUGUUGGGAGUUCAAUGCCAUCCAGUGCUAUUAUAGUGUUAGGCUCUGUCUCAAACAAACAAACAAAAAACUAAAACCAUAGACACCAAAUAAGCAACGUGUCUAAGUCUCAGUCUCUCUCUCUCUCUCUCUCUCUCUCUCUCUCUCUCUCUCUCUCUCUCUUCUCUCUUUUUCUCCCCUCUCUCUCUCUCUCUUUCUCUCUCUCUCUCUCUCUCUCUCUCUCUCUCUCUCUCUCUCUCUCUCUUCCUCUCUCUCUCUCUGUCCCUCUUUCCCUCUCUCUUUAUGACAGAGUCUCUUUCUCAUCCAGACCUGGCCACGAACACGUGGCAAUCCUCCUGUCUCAGCGCCCCUCACAUACUAGAACUAGACACGUUAGCUCCAAAUCCAGUUAUAUUUGAUUUCCUAAAACUGCUUGGUAGUUUCUUUUUUGUUUUUUAAGCCCAAUACUCUAGCCAAAGUACCAGGAAAUAAAAUUAGGGCCUUCAACAGAGUUGCCAAAUAAAUAUAUAGAUUUUUUUUCUUUUAGUUAAAUUUGAACUUCGGAUUAAUAAUGACAAGCCUUUGAGAAGUAUAAACGCGUCUGAAACGUUGCAUGGUCUAUAUUUAUAUUAAAAUAUUCCAUGUUAUUUACUUGCAGUUCACGAUCAGCUAGCACGUCUUCUUUGGUGCACAGCCCUCCCUGAAAAUGGGGUGAGAAAGGGGGAGGAGAUGUAUUUAGCUGGCUUGAUUUUUUUUUUUUUUAAUCUUAACUUCUGUAUAACAGUCUACUUGUUCGGUUACAGGUAUGCAGGAAGUAAGAGAGAAAAAUAUGCAAGGAGAGAAAAAAGGACACAGGCUCCAAGGAGAACAGAAGUCAUCACAUUAUAUGUAAAAGUCAUUUCGGAUGCGUAAAUCCGGGAUGCUCUUUAGAAUUCAACCUGAGCUUGUCCGUGAUGACCAGGGGUUUUAUGAGACUCUUCUACGUUUUCGGCCAUCCAGAUAAGGAGGUGGCUAUGCGAUACUCCCUGACUGGAGGCCUCUUGGGAAAGUUACUGAGGGUUCAGCCAGUGGCCAAACCUUCUGCUGGCCCUGGAAUGGAGACUUACCAGUAGGAACACCUGUAGAGGCCUCUUCCAAAUGUCAAAAAUCCGUGGGGUCUGAUAAGAGGUUUUCCAUAGGCUUUAUACAAAGAAGCUUUCCAGGAACCUAGGUCCCUAUUAUGUAAAGUGUGUGUGUGUGUGUGUGUGUGUGUGUGUGUGUGUGUGAGAGAGAGAGAGAGAGAGAGAGAGAGAGAGAGAGAGAGAGACAUAUGUGAACACACACUCACACCAUGGAGGCCAGAAGACAGAGUUGGACUCCCUGAAGCUGUGAGUUACUCAAAGUAUGUCUGGGAACUGACCUCAGGGGUCCAGCAUGAACAGUAAGCACCCUGACCACUGAGCCAUCUGGCCUGCCCCAGGAGUUCCUCUUGAGUCUCAGAGUCAUUGGCUGAUAUUUACCUGAUGAUUACAGGCUGUGGAUGUACACUGAGGGACUCAGAGCUACAGGUACGGGAAUGACAGUUGGAGGUUGUUCUUGGAGAGCAAGUGAAGCAACUUUCUUUAGAUGAAAUGUUUGCUGGGGUCACUGAGGCAGCAUGUGGAAGUGUCUAGAAGGUGAUGGCUACCUCAAACCUUCAUCCUGCCUCUCUGUGCUACCUGCUGCUGCUGCCUGGAGAAAUAAGACACUGACAGUUAGGGUGGGUGUGAGGAACCACAUUCGACAGGUUUCUACUGUUAAUAUGACUGGGCUGCACUGUCUUGGCUCCUUCAUGUGGCAGCCAUGCCUCCCUGUCCUACACUCUUCUCAGGGAUGGCGUCCCUCCUCUCCUCCACACUCUCCCGGCAUGGCGGAUCUCCUCUCUUUCCUCCUUCCUCCAGGUCCCAAACCUGGAAAAUCCCCAAAUCCUGCCUCUGUCUGCCCUGCCCUGCUAUUGGUUGUUGGCAUUGUUAUUUACCAAUCAGAACCAACUGGGGAGAGGUUCCCAGAAGCUAUGUGCAGAUACCCAGACAGUCUCAAACGAACAGUUCUGAGGGGACAUAAUUAGCAUUCAUAACACAGGCAGCUACACUGUAGUACAGAAUAAGCUUUAUAAAUAGUGAUGUUCUUUCUAAAUGCAUAGCUUUGAGACAGGGUUAGACACACUUCAACUCCUGGAAGACCUUGACCCUAUACUUUAGGGUUGAGUUCUUGUUUCCCUAUUAUUGAUUUUUAGACAACUUCACAGAUGGGCAAAAGAAAUAAAUCCACCAAAGUAUGAUUUUAACCCUUGUGGUCCAGUGGAGCUGCCAUUCACAGUGAGAGAGAAGUCACAUGGCAAGGAGACCCAGUAGACUUUAAUCCCUGAAUGGUAGUAAGACAAACAAACAAACAAAUAAACAAACAAAAAACCCUCAGAACAAGCCCAGUGCUUGCCUAGCAUCUGGAUCCAGAUGGUCCUUGGCAUUUGCGGAUGCUCUGACCCAAGCCUCCGCUAGACGAAAACUUAAGAAAUUGUCUCUUCCUUUCUCAAACCAUGGCUGCACUAAGUGAGAAACUGACAAAUUAUCUCCCUUCUCUUUUGAACCCAAGUAUUCCUAUGGGAAUGGAGGGGCAGGCUGCUUGUCAGUGCCCCUCCAAGCCUUUCACCAAACUGAAGGGGUGUAUGUGUGUGAGUCAUCCCGUGUGGCACCAAACCUCUUUGUCUAAUCUCUCUCUGGAGACGUAUGUGUGACUAAAAGACGGGAAAGUUCACUGGAGAAAGCAACUUGGUGACCUGUGUGUUCCCGGACUGGGGAGUCUCCGAGAGCUGCCUUUGAGUGUUCCGCACGCACGUGAGCCAUUCAUUAACUCUCCAACCUGGUUCCAAAGACUCUCCCAAAGUGUACGUAGGCUCCUUCCCUACAGGUUUUGAGCAAGAAUAGGCUUUGAAUAAAUUCUAUGGGUCAAAAGUAUGAACUAAAUUCAGUAGCCAUCUGUACCUGCUUGGGGAAAGGACAGUUCCAGUGUGGCCUUAAAGUUGCUUCAGUUCUCCUGCCCAAGCAUCUGGUGAGUUGGGAUUCCAGCCAGGCAUCAGACAACCUACCUUUUAAAGAAACAUUCUGAUGAUGAAAUCUAUCUUUCCUUUCCCGGAGGACUAGGGUAAGCCUUCAAAAAAGAGUUUAAAAGUAGCUCAUCUAUAAACAUACACCACACACACACACACACACACACACACACACACACACACACACCACGCCCCCCCACACCCCCCAUGGGGAUUUUCAUGCCUCUGAUCCACGGUCUCAUUCUAUCAUCCAACCUCUUUCCUAAUUUGUAAUUCCUCUUUGUUGGUAAAAUACACUGUCCUCAACAUACCUACUUUCUGUUCAAUGUUAGUACAUGCAAAACCAUCUGAGAAGCCCGCCCUGGUACCCAUGAGAAACACUGAGUGUAGUAUCUGUGUUCGGCUUCCGCUUUUUGAGUUUGUAGAUGUGGUUCCCUUUCCCCAAUCACACUGUCUGUUCUUCCCUGGUGUGGUGUCUCAUUCAUUUUCGAGACAGUGAAGUUCAGCCAUUACUGUUGCUUCUCCAUUUUGCCCCACACCCUUGUCACCUGACUUAGCAGGGUGGGGUUUAUGACUGAGUGGUCCCGGCCAAGAAAUAAAGGAAGCUGACCUGUGUGUCCCUUACCUCUUCUAUAACCGGGUCUCUGGAGAGAAAGUUUCCCAUGACAGCUGCAAUCUACAGCAAUAUCAAAAUGGCUUUCAUUCCCCCGCUCUUUACCCCGACCCACCCUACCUCCUAUUUCCUGGAGUUUCUAAUUAAGAGAAAAACUGGUUUGAAAACCACUCCCUAAUCCUUUUAAUUUGGGAGGAGUUCAACAUGAAUAAUCAGAAGGUUAAAAGGUCGGUAAUGGGUGGGUGGAGGCACAGGAGCCCCGAGGAGGGAGCGAGUGAAUAAUAAAGAGUUUAGUGAAUGGAGAGUCAUGGGCAGUUACAUCAAUUAAGUAAUAGUGUGAGCAAGAAGUGGCAUGCUGUCUUUGUCUCUAACCUGGGUAGUUUGGAGGAGCCAAUCUCAAGGCGAGAUGCCAUUAGCAUUCGCUGGCUCUUGUCUAUGUGAGCCAGUGUGGUUGGCAGAGCCUCGUUAUCCCUUUCCUUCCUGCGUUUGUUCAUUUAUUCCAUCACAAUCUCCUACUGACAGACGUUAGACCUGAUGUCUUAUGUGCGAAGACCUUAAGCAGGGCCUUAGAGUAGGCGGACCGAUUCCAGGCACCAUCGCUCUAUCCAAGCCCAGUUUAUUGCCGUGCCCAAUGGUUGAUGCAUCAACCCCAAAAUAUUUGAGAACUAGAUACAUGGAAGUCCUGGAAUCGUGCUCAGAACCCACUGUAGAGAGAACAUUGGGGAUGCAGGGGUGGGCGAGUGCUCCCAUGAAGGAAAAUGUUUUGAGAAUUUCAUGCCACGCCCUCUGUUGUCAAACUUCUGCUGGCCUGGGCUCUGUUCCCUGGAGCGGUACUAAGAGCUCAGCCCAGACUUGCCUGGGAAUCGGUGUAAACAGAUCUCCCAUGGAAGGCAGGAAAACAGCCUUGGGUCUUGUUGGGAACCUAAGGGCUGAUAGGUGCAGGGUGAUUCACCCAGGCAGGUUGCGACAAGGCCAAUUGCAGGCCUAAAGUUGUUUGUUUCACCAGCAUUAGUAAACAUCACCACAAAACAAUUAUGUCAGUAAAGAUUUCAAAAUCGCCCAAGGCAGAGGACAAGAGAGAAAAGUGAUCAUAAAAGUGAACCAGAUAUUUGAGAAUAUUUUGGUUGACUAGAGGAAGAUGCAUAUAGAUGAGGUAAUGUGUGUGCUUUACGGAUUUGAUGAAUUGGCUUGUGGUUUGGUGUGGAUUGGGCAGUUUACAAAAGCAAUCCCUCCUCACUUCCCACUGCUUUUCUUCCUUAUGAUGCUCUGGGAAAAGAAACUUGUUUUACCAUACAUGGGAGCCAGAGAUUAAGCAAUCCGUUUGGUAAUUCCUUCUCCUGCGGAACAAAGCUAGACUCUUCUCAGUUUCGUCUCUGCUUUGUCUUUAUGGCCAUCUGACUCUUUUCUGCUUUUUAACAGGGUUGAUAUUUAGAACAAUGUUCUCUGUAGAAAUGGUGCUUGUUCUUCAGGGACUUGCAUUAGGACACGCAUGUGCAUGCCACUACAUAUCCAUCUCAGUGUUGCCUUGUGGGAAUGUUGACUUACCCCAUGGCCUUCCAAGACUAGGAUGAGCAGGGUUUGCAUGCCCAAGCAUUGCUGGAAUCAACAGGUCUAUGCACCGAGGUUGGCCAGCUCCUGGAGAAGGGCUCACCAAAGUUCACUGGUUUUUCCUGCUCUUCUGAGGCCCAAGCGGCCCAAAGAGCUCCCCUGGCUGGCCUCAGGUACCUCUGUGUCAGUCCAGGCUGGAGUCAGGAAAUGAAGAGGUGGGUGGGAAAAGGAAAACUACUAGGGUGGAGGUUUGGGAAAAUUCCUCAAUCUUUUCAUGACAUCAAACUGUUCAACAUGGGUAAGUCAUCAGGAAAAACACAAAACCCUGACCCUAGUGGAAUUUACCACUGGUCGGCUGUACUGCACCUUCUGGCUCCCGCACCCUGUAAAUGGCUGGGUAAUGAGAGGUCUGAGUUUUCUCGGGCUGGAAGGUGAGAAGCUUAGGCAGGUGUUGUGAAGGAUUACACAACCUGGAGAGGAUCUUCAUGAACGUUCAAAAACAAAUAAACAAAGAAAUCCCCAAACUGUGGAAGCAAAGUGAAUAUUAAGAGAGGAAAGGUGCAGAGAAUUGCUUGCCCUCAAUAACCACUACCAGAUACUUGAACAAAAUCCACCCAGGCUGAAACAACGUGCAAGGCAACUUUUGUUUUGCUGAUUUUUUUUUAAAAGUCUUACUAGACAGCCAAGUCUGGCCUGAGACUUGCAAUCCUCCUGUCGCAGCUUCAUGACUGCUUGGACAUUUUGAAUUGUCACAAGCCAGAUCUACAGCACGGCUUUCUGUUGAGCAACUGUCAAUUCUGUAAGGCUCAACCUUUCUUUUCCAUUUUAAAAAACUAUAUAGUCUUCAGUUGGCCAUUCACAUUCCCCUGUUUCAUUGCCUUUUACUUUAUUAUUUUUUGAGAUAGGUUCUAGGUGGGUAGCUUUCUUGUUCUUUCUACCUCAGCUUCCCAAGGGCUGGAAUCUUCUGCGUACCACCACACCCACGUCUUCACAUUUCUGUAACAUUCCUUUUCCAUGUUUCAUGAUACAGAUCAUGAUUAUCUGUAGUCUAAUACUUUCCAUAAAGAAUAGAAUGAAAAACCAGCAAAACGUGUUCCUUUCCUACUCCCCAUCUCCCUGUGACUCCAGUGUUGACCCUGAAGGGCAGGCUGUGGCCCUAGAGGAUGUGUAGAGAGAAGUUAGCGCAGGGAAGGAGAACGAGUAGGGGGUUAGAAUCACGUCUUUUAAAGCUCCUCGUGCGGCUAAGAAUUUGUAGCAAUAUGCAAAGACAUUAAGUCACAAUGAAACCGCAAACAUCCUCAAGUAAGCCCUUUGCUAACUGGCCCUGAAACAUGCUAACAGCCUGCCACCAUGAAGUCAAGUCUGGUGAGAGGACAUUAGAACAGAAGGAUACAUUACACACUGUGAUUUAACCCCAGAGUAUGACUCAUCUGUCUCACUACUACGAAUUUUUAGACUUAUAGCCAGGUGACUUGAGAGCAUCUUCCCACUUCAGGAUCCUCGAAGGGGAGACCCUGGGAGAUGAGAGCCCCAUCAUAUUUCCUUCGUUAGCAAGUUUGUCUGAGGUUCUGAGGGAAUUUGAGCAAGUGGUUCACUCUCCUGCCUCAGUUUAUCCUUCCAUCUAUUCUGCUACAUUCUUGCCAGGGUCAGGUAAGCAUGUCUAUAUUUCCAUGUGAUCUCAAGGGUGUCUGUUUUUUUUCCAUCUGCUCACUCUGAGGUUUUGUGAGAGUGGAUAAGAGUAUACAAAACAAAGCACAGGCUUGGCUGGUUUUCUGAGUUACUGAGGUCUGGUACCUGGGCCACCGUCAGGUGGGUAAGUCGUUUGAAGAGAUUAAUGUAAUAAAAACUAACUCCUAUUCUGGGGUAACUUUUAGCUUGGUCAAGUAACAAUCCAUGUCCAGUUGGAUUCACAGUCCUCGGGGAGCAAAAAGCUUGGAGGAGGAAGGCUCCCACGGGAAGCAUCAUGGUUAGUGAGACCCCGAGCCAUCUCAGCAGAUGGCACAACUGGUAAAGGACACGGGCUCCUCCCAAGUCUCUGGAAGUAACCUUGAAGGACAUUUAACUGAUCUUGACUGUUAAACAGAAAAGGUCCUCCGUUGGGUUGUCGAAGAGAUUUUUAGAUAUCCAAGCAGCAAAGUGCAGCCACAGAAUAGGAUGACUGGUCACACCAGGCAAAAAGAGCUAUGCUAGGCUUUAUAAGGGACAAACAAUGGCUAAGGCCUUAGAAGACAUUCUUCUAAUGUCUCCCUUUCCUUUACGGUACCUACAAAAUCAGAUCGAGGCAGUGCCAGACACCCUAUCCCUUUGGUGAGCAGCUUUACUAUUUGGUGUUCAUGGUGAAAAUAGGUAGCGACCUUGGAGAUUGUCCUAUUAGUCUUUAGACCUGGUGUGCUUAAUACCUUCUUUAUAGUGAAUCCUCUUUCAGAUGAUCAUGCAGGAAUUUAAUUUCAUCUCUCUGGGUUUACUUCAUGGUAUCCCAUGGCCUGAGAGUCAACAAGAAUGGAGACCCAAACAAGCACGCCUAAGCCCCAUUUUAGCUAGAAGUAGCCAUCUUGACUCUAUGCCUCUGUCAUAAGUGAUUUUAGAGUCUCAGCUCUAGAGAAGGGAACCUGAGAUAGCUAGACAGGCACUGUCACGCUCAGAGAGAGUUGUUAAUAGGACCCCCUCUCCCUUGUAUUCAGUUAUGUCCUUAUUUAAGAUUCUAAAUACUAUAUGAAAAGGAGAGGGAUUUAUUGAAGCCCUCUAAGAGAAAGUCAUUUCCUUCUGGCCAAAAGGCUGUAGUUUGAAUUCUAUCUCCAGCCUUGGGUAGAGCCAUCACAUUUAUAGUGGCCAAAGCGUAAGAUUACAAACAGAUGAUUGUCCCCGCCCCUUGGAGUUAAUCUGAUAUCUGCCAGGAGACCAACCCUCUGGAAAUGGAAUAAACCUAAAGAUAAUGCCACGUAGAGAGCGAAAUAAUUACCUCCCUAAUAAGACAGUGUAUCUAUCCUACUAGUCUCCCCCCAUGCGAUUGCUUACACAUUUCUCUAUUAAUCAGGUUUGCUUUUAUGAGUUCUAACUCAAAAAGUAUAGCUUUUCCUUUUCCACAUUUCUAAACAACUUUAGGGGAGUCAGUUCUAGUCUGUCUGUCUUCCUUCCUUCCUUUCUUCUUUCUUUCUUUCUCUCUCUCUCUCUCUCUCUCUCUCUCUCUCUCUCUCUCUCUCUCUCUCUUCCUUCCUUCCUUUCUCUCUGUCUCUGUCUCUAUCUCUCUUGUCUGUCUUCCUUCUUUCUCUCCUCCUCUUUUUCCCUCUCCCUCCUCCUUUCUCUUCUCCUCCUCCUCGUUCUCCUCCUCCUCUUCUUCUCUUCUUUCCUUCUCCUUCUCCUUCUUUCUUCCAUGUUUAUUCUGGGGAUUGAACUCAUGCAUGGCGUUGAGUACCUUUGUGUCUAGUCUUUCCACCCUCCUUCCCACCUUUCUAGCUCUUCUUUUGGUUCUGCCCACAAGCCUAAGCAUGCUCGCCUUGCCUUCUCCAAAGACUUCCCCUACUCCCACCCAUGCUUGCUGACCUCUCCUGCUGAACCUGCUGCGUGCUAACUUAACCGGCAUGACUUUCUCUUAUCCAUACCUUUCCUCCAAGCGGUUGCCAACUCUGACGGUGCAAUAUGCUCUGUUAUUAUUGUUUCCAAAUUCUAAUAAAAUAGCUCUUGAGAGUAAAAAACCAACAGACAAUCAAAUGAACAAAUUUAACUUGAUUAACUAAGAGAUGAGACAAACCAGUGAGGAAGGGCUUAUGUGAGCAUAGUAUAUAUUAUUCAUAGACUCGGUUCUAGUCUCUUAGGAUAGCCUGACCAACCCCUCAGCGACCCAUUUUGUGACCGUGAUCUUUUUGUGACUACAGUGUCCCACCCUCAGUCCUCAGGAGCCUCAGCAGCUGCUCCUUUCCUCCCAACUCUCCGUUGCUGCCUCCAGUUGCGUCGAUGGCACCAUGCUGCUCCUCACUGCGGCCCCUUUCUCUCAUCUUUCCUUUCUUCUGCACAGUCUGAAACAGCUCUUGCUCCUCUCCCUUGCAUUUUCUCUCCCUGAAGGUCUCUCCCAGGACAAGCCUAACACUGACUACUUCUCUUCAGUGCAGGAACAGCAAGCUGUGAGAGAAAGCAGCCCACUGUUUGCUUUCAUUCACAGGAUGGUAGUGACUGAAAAUCUCAAGUGACCCUAGCAGUGCCCAGAAAUCCCAGUGAGUUCUCCCAUGCUUGCCCCUCAGGCUCUGCUGCUCCUCACGUUUAUCUUUAAACGUCUGACCUUUUGCCCCACAGCACCUUUAGAGCCGAUUGGCUGAUCACUCAUUGAUCUAGAAAACAGCAACUGUACCUCUAAAUUUACAACUAUUACCUACUGUCCCCACAUCCCUGCCUUUCAGUGGAUGGAGGGAGAGUCCUUGCCCUACCUAAGCCUGGGUACUUUUGUUUUCAGAGUCUAACUCAUGACAAUGUUUUCUCAUGUUCCUUACACCACGAAUUUCUCUCUGUCAACACUGUGAGUUAGCAGAGAUUCACGAGGGUCUUUAGUCCCCUAAGAAAAACAAGUACUUCCUCAGCCUCAUGGGCUAGGGCUUCCAGGGAGUCCAGAGUCCUUUCUCUUGGAAAAAGAUCUACAGACAAUUGGUUAUUCCUUCUCUUGCUUUCUCUUACCUCCUCACCCUUUGUUCCUCUUCACUGACCUUCUUCUUUCUUACUCUGCUUUGUUGUUACUGCUGUUUUUCUGAGACAGGUUUCCUGUGUGUAGCCCAGGCUAUUGUCAUUAGUGCCCUACCUUUGGUGUCAAGGAGCCUCAUGAUCACUCUUCCUUUGGUUCAGGUAGCCCAAGUUAUCCUCAUGAUCACCCUUCCUUUAGUGCCAGGCUUCAUCAGGUGAUAUUUUUCUUGAAACAAGGGUCUCACUCUCCCACAGAAUGUCUUUAUGCCUCAUCCCCCUGCCUCCACUUCCCAAGGGAUGGCAUUACAGGCAUGUGCUAGUGCCUCAUCUCACACCACUCUGGUCAGUCCCCUUUCCACCAGUCCACUCUGGCUGUUGUUGUCUCGUUGCCUGCAAACUCCUAGCCAGAUCCACCUUUCAUUAUUCACUCUCUUGAUGGACCUAAUGGCUGACUCUUGCUUUCUUGAAUAUAUUUUAUUUAUUAUGGCUUCUGAAAGUCCAUACUCCUGGCUCCCUCAUCCCUCCUGGUCAAUCUAUUGUCUUUUCUUUCUGCACUCCUUUUUUUUUUUUUUUUUAGCACUAUUUAUUAGUGUGUGUUUGUUUGUGCAUAUGUGUGUGCAUGUAUUUAGGGCUUUUGUGAGAAGAUCAGAGGACUACUUGGGGAGGUUGGUUCUUUCCUCCCAUCAUGGGGAUCUCAGGGCUGGAUCUUAGGAGGUCAGGCUCAGCAGCAAGCGCUUUCAUCUACUGAGCCUUUCAAUGGCCCCACUCCAUGAGUUGGAUUUCUCAGCAGCCAACUUUAAUCAAUGCUGUUUCCUGUCUAAACUCACUGUUCAUGUAAUCCUAUAUGACUGGUAAUAUAAUAGCUUUAAGCUAUGUCUUAGUUAGGGUUUUACUGCUGUGAACAGACACCAUGACCAAGGCAAGUCUUAUAAAGGAUAACAUUUAUCUGGGGCUGGCUUACAGAUUCAAGGAUUCACUCCAGUAUCAUCAAGGCAGAGACAUGAGAGCGUCCAGGCAGGCAUGGUGCAGGCAGAACUGAGAGUUCUACAUCUUCAUCUGAAGGCUGCUAGCAGAAUACUGACUUCCAGGCAGCUAGGAUGAGAGUCUUAAAGUCCACAUCCACAAUGAUACACCUACUCCAACAGGGCCACACCUUCUAAUAGUACCACUCCUGGGUCUAGCAUAUACAAACUAUCACAAGCUAUAUUUAUAUGCUUCUGGUUUUGAAAUAUAUGCUUUCAGGCUUUCCUUUUUGCCAGAGCUCCAGGUUUGAUGACUUUCUGUUUGAGAUCUAUUUGGUGCCUUGAAUCAGAGCCUUCCUCCAUAAACCUCUGCUUCCACCAUCUCUGAUCCCACUGGGGCUUCACCAGCCAUGUAAACAGUACACUGUGCACCCAGUGCUUAACCCCAGAUGCAAAUGACUCUGGUCUUUGCCGAAUUAUUUCUGUCCACUUUAUCAUAUGAAGUCCAACCACCUCACACCUGCCACACUAGCCCAGUGGUCGCUAACUCCACACCUUGACUAUUACAAAGCCAUGCCACAGAUCCCUUGCUAGCCCUAUGAAGUAUUUUACCUUUUCAGUUGGUUGCUGUUGUUGUUUGGGUUUUGAGAGAGGGUGGUAAAUAGGCCAGACUGGUUUCAAACUCACAAAGCAGGCAACUUUGGGCUCUUGCUCCUUCUCCUUCUACCUCCUAAGUGCUGGAGGACAAGAGGGGAUCACCAUGCUUGGCUAUAAGUACUACACAAAGCAUCCAGAGCAUCAUGGUCAUACAGUGUCCCCAGCCCACAUACCUGUAACCUCAACAUUUGUGGUAGAAGCAGGAGGACCAGGUUCAAGAUCAUGAUUAGUUACAUAGCAACCUGGGUAGCAUGAGACUUUAUUUAAAGCAGCCAACAUAAAUAAAUACAUAAAAAAAUGAGUGCCUGUAGGCUAUUCUUCCUUAUUACCUAGAUGUAGGUCUGGAACCUUCUCCUGUCAUGACAGCAGAUCUAUUAACUCUCCCAACACAGACUUACGACCCUGUUCCUGCCCUUGUUUCUUGGUCCCGAGUUCUUCACAACAUAACCCAGUCUCUGCCCUUCAGCCAGUCCUUGUUAAACAGCUCAACAAUGCCAUUACUGGCUGUUGAUGUCAAGCCAAGGUCUUUCUGGUUUCAUUGUACUUGUUGAUGUAGGCAGGGCUUACUAUAGAUUUGGACAAGAGGAGGGAAACCUUGGUUUUUAACCUGCACAGCUAGUAUGAAGACACUGUGGCAGAGAUCAUUCCUUAUUCCUGAAAUUUUUCUUUAUUUUAUGUAUAUGAGUGUUUUGCCUGUAUAUCUGUAUGUGUAUUACAAAUAUGCCUGGUGCCUGUAGAGAUCAAAAGAGGGCCUCAGAAUCCCCUGAAAGUGGAGUUACAGUUGUGACCUGCCGGAGGCUGCUAAGAACUGAACUCUACAAAAGCAGUAAGUGCUAUUAAGCAAUGAGCUAACUUUCCAGCACUGUAAUGGUUUGUAUAUGCUUGACCCAGGGAGUGGCACUGUUUGGGGGUGUAAUCCUGUUGGAAUAGAUGUGUCACUAUGGACAUGGUCUUAAGACCCCCAUCCAACUUGCCUGGAAGUCAGUCUUCCACUAGCAGCCUUCAGCUAAAGAUGUAGAACUGUCAGCUCCUCCUGAACCAUACCUGUCUGGAUGCUUCCAUGCUCCUGCCUUGAUGAUCCUAGACAACCUCUGAAUCUGUAAGCCAGCUCCAAUUAAAUGUUCUCUUUUAUAAGACUUGCCUUGGUCAUGGUAUCUGUUCAUAGCAGUAAAACCCCUAACUAAGACAGAAGUUGGUACCAGGAGUGAAGUAUUGCUGUGAUAGGCCUGACCAUGCUUUUGUUUAGAAGAAUGUGGAUUUUGGGACUUUGGAUUUGGGAAACAGUGGAAUGCUUUAAAUGGGGCUUAAUGGGCUAUUCAAGAAAGAAUAUGGAAGACUUUGUUGCUCAAUAUGAUUUGAACUGUAUAUACCUGGCCCAAGAGGUUUCAGUGGAGAAGAAUUUCAGAAUGUGGCUUAGAGACUGUUUUUGUGGGAUUGUGGUGAAGGAUGUGGCUGCUACAUCUUUGUCUGAAGAGUCUACCUGAGACUAAGGUAAAGAGCUUUAUAUUAAUUACAUUGACAGAGGAAGUCUCAAAAAAGCCCAGCAGAGACUUUGUUCUCUGGUUAAGUUUUUUUUUUUUUAAAGAUUUAUUCAUUUAUUAUAUAUAAGCACAUUGUAGCUGUCUAAAGACACACCAGAAGAGGGGAUCAGAUCUUUACAGAUGGUUGUGAGCCACCAUGUGGUUGCUGGGAAUUGAACUCAGGACCUCUGGAAGAGUAGUCGGGUGCCCUUAAUCACUGAGCCAUCUCUCCAGCCCUCUCUGGUUAAGUUUUAUGAAGAGUGUUUUGAGCAAGUGUAGAAGCUUCGAAAAAAAUAUUAAUAUUAAAAUAUAGAGUUCAAGAAUUAAAGAGGCACCAGGAAGUGAAAUGAAACUGAAUCCUAUGUUCUAGGAGAUAACAGAUUAAGGGAUUUGGGGACAAGAUACUACGGAGCUAAAUUUAGAUCUGGCACGGUGGUACACACUUUUAAUGCCAGGAGACAAAGCCAAACAGAUCUCUACAUUCGAGGCCAGUCUGGGACAAAGAAGAUUCUAGGUGAAGAAAAGAUUAAAUCCAGGCAUGGUGGUAUAUACCUUUAAUCCCAGCAUUACAGAAGACAGAGCCAUGCAGAUCUCUGAGUUCCAGGUCAAUCUACAGAGCAAGUUCCAAGAAAGCUAAGCUUAGGCAGAGAGGGAGUCAGAAAACAGAAGCUAGUAAUAGAAUGGGGGUGGGGGUGUCCUAGCCCUAGAAAGCAGCAAAACACGGCAGCUUCAGCCAUGUGGCUCUGGCUUUAUAGUGAAAAAUAGAAGGGACUACUGGGACAAUUGAUGCUGGCUAGCUAGAGCUAAGAAAUUCAAGGUAAUUAAGAAGAUUCACUGAGGUGAAAUCUUCUGGGAAGUGUUUUCUGAGAGCACAAAGCUGUGUUCCAGAGAUAGCCAAGGUUGUAUCCCAUGUUGUAGCUGUACUGGGUAAUGUGUAAGAGUCACCAAGGUGGUACUGGUUUUGAAGGCAUGAAGGCAUCAUGAAGAACAGCUGAGGCUUGGCACCAUGGAAGGCCAUUGGUGAAGGUGCAGUGUCAGUUGUAGUUGACAACCCAGGACUGAGGGGGUCAUGCAAAGGAGUUGAGGCUUGGCACCCUAAAGAGAGCCUAUGAGAGGCUAUUUGGAGCAGAAGACCGUAGCAUGUUGAAGAUGCCAGUACCAUGGGGUGAUCACCAAGAACAGUAGCGGUAGUAGAGUAGAUCAACCUGAGCUUAGAGUGCUACAGAGGGCAGAGCUGGAGAAGUGAUGCCAUCCCUUUGGAGGAGCCCAGAAGAUCAUGUAUGUAUCCCAGACACUGAAGCAAGAAGCUGUAACGUUGAAGUUGCCUUGGAGACCCUAAGAUAUUCAAGAUGCCAGAGCCAUGCUCUAUCUGUUGAGGAAAGCUGCUAACAGGGAGUGGAACCAGCCCAGGAGAAAGAAGUUUGUUGCAGUCAACAAAGAUGAAAAGGGAGCUGAAGAUCUGAAGAUGGCUUUGACAUCAGACAUGGAGAUGCGGAGUUUGGAGUUUGCCCAGCUGGUUUCCUGUCUUGCUUUGGUGAUUACAGUUAAGUGAUUGGAUGGAUCUCAGAAGAGACUUUGAACUUUGGACUUUUAACAUUGUUGAUACUGCUAUAGACGUUGGGGACUUUGGAAGUUGAACUAAAUGUACUUUUUUAAAAGUAUGCUAUGAAUAGAUAUGGCCCCCAUGGACUCAUGUGUGUAAACAAGCCUAUGAGGGUCAGGGAGUGGAAUAUGAUGGUUUGUAUAUGCUUGACCCAGGGAGUGGCACUAUUGGAGGUGUGGCCCUGUUGGAGUUGGUGUGGCACUGUGGGUGUGGUCUUAAGAUCCUCACCCAACUGCCUGGAAGUCAGUCUUCCACUAGCAGAUAAAGAUAUAGAACUGUCAGCUCCUCCUACCCCAUGUUUGUCUGGAUUCUUCCAUGUUCCUCCCUUGAUGAUACUGGACUGACCCUCUGAAUCUGUAAGCCAGCCCCAAUCAUUUGCCUUGGUCAUGGUGUCAUUCACAGCAGUAAAACCCUAAGACUUUAUUAUUAUUUUUAUUAUUAUAUUAUUAUUAUAUUAUUAAUUAUUAUUGUUUUAUAUUAGCUACCAUGGAUAGCCCUAGGCUGGCUAUAUGACUAAGUCAAUUUUUAUUGAUCUAUUGAGAAUGAUCACCUAGCAGGAAAGAGCAAAAUGUUGAGCUUAGUUUUAUUUUUAAAAAUAAAAUGUGUUCAUAAAUACAUACACAGAAAAUGGAACAUGGUUUUAUAACCACUGAAAAUAAACAGCAAAUAACUAUGGAAAUUACCGGUGUCAAGAAGUCAAUAAAAGCUUAGUCAAUGAAUUCUGACCCAUUUCUGAAUCUUUUGAUAAUGAAAGAAAUGCUCCAGGGCAGGUCUCAGUGUGGGAGAUCCUGGGGAUCAGAGGCCCCAACAUGCCCUGAGGGCAUGUCCUUGUUUUGACAGCUGCCAAGACCUCAGCCCUCAGUGACCUGCUCCAAAACUGGUCUUCAGAGUCACUCCGGUCAUCCUCAGGGUACCCAACCCUUAGCAUGAGCACCACAUUCUGUUCAUAAGCUAGAUGACUGAACAUGGUUCCUGUAGCUGGCUGGGUUCUGUGACCCAAGAAUUAUGAGAGACAGACUGACCGGCAGCCAGAUGGAUGAAGUGUCCAGAAAGAAUGGGAGAGAGUUAGGAACCAUUAGACCUGGAGUCCUGAGGGCCUGGCCUUGGUGGCUCCCUCCUACUUAUUCUUUGAGCUUAGUGUUUGACAAGGCUGGGGAGUUUCAAGCUUCACUUGAAACUGAAGAAGAAUGCCUUUUAGACUUCUGUCUUACUUUAGAUGAAUGAAUGUUUUGCAUGCCUGUGGUUGUUUGCAUAUGCUUGGCCCAGGGAGUGGCACUAUUAGAAGGUGUGGCCUUGUUGGAGGAAGUGUGUCACUGUGGGGUGGGCUUGGAGAGCCUCCUCCAGUCUUCCAGCUGCCUUCAGAUGAAGAUGUAGAGCUCUCAGCUCCUCCUGCACCAUGCCUGCCUGGAUGCUGCCAUGCUCCUACCUUGAUGAUAAUGGACUGAACCUCUGAACCUGUAAGCCAGCCCUAAUUAAAUGUUGUCCUUUAUAAAACUUGCAUUGGUCAUGGUGUCUGUUCACAGCAAUAAAAUCAUAACUAAGACAAUGCCGGUAUGGAUAUGUACCUUAUGUCUGUCUUGGGCCCAUGGAGGUCAAGAAGAGAAAGUCUGAACCCCUGGAACUGGAGUGAGGGACGGCUGUGAGUCAUCAUGUAGGUUCCGGGGCCUGAACUCAGGUCCUUGGCAUGAGUAACAAGUGUUCUAAACUGAUGAGUCAUCUCUCUAGCCCCAUGAUCUACAUUUUUCUGGUUAAUAAUUAUGUAUUUAUAUUUCACUCAUAUUUUUUUGUUGUUGUUUGGUUUGGUUUUGAGACCCAAGCCAGCCCUAAACUUCCAGAGAUCAGUUCCAGGGGAGCUCAUUAGCCAGACAGCCUAGCCUAGCAGCUCCAGGUUCAGUGAGAGACAUUGUCUCAAGAAAGUAAAAUAGAAAGAAAUAAAGGAAGAUAUUGGUUACUGAUGUUUGUUGUACACGCAAGUAUCUUACCUACACACAUACAUGAGUAUGUAACACACACACACAGAAACACACAUAUAAUAAAUAAAAAACAAAAUUUAUAUUUUAAUAUUUCAGAAUGCUGGAAUAUCAGGCGGAAAGAAGUUUACACAACUUGGGUCUUUUUCUUUUCUUGCUUUUUGUUUGUUUGUUUGUUUUGUUUUGACAAGGUUUCUCCGUGUAGCACUGGUUGUCCUGGAACUCACUUUAUAGACCAGGCUGGUCACUUGUCUGUGUAUCACAAGUGUACCACCACGCUGGGCUCAAUUUGAGUUUUCUUCUAGUAAACUUUUUUUCUCACUGUUGCUUCUCGUCUUGUCCAGAAGACAGUCAUCUCUAAGCUGCUGCCACAUCGGAGUGCUAGAAUACUCUGGCUCCCGUCACAAAGGUCUUAAAACCUGGGGCCAAGGAGUACAUCGUCCCUUAGGUCUGGCAACCAGACAUUCAAGAUAUAGCCGAGCCUGGUAUCGAAUGCCCGUAGUCCUGGUCCUCAGGAGGCUGAGGAAUUCAGAGCAAAUACAGGUUAUAUGUGGAAACAUAUAUAUGUAUAAAUAUAAAAACAGUACAAGUGCAGAAAGGAGUACUGUUAAGGAAAGGACGGUGAUCUGAGGGAGGAAAGAAGGGGUAAGUAAGGAUAAUAGUUCGAUGAAUACGGGCACAAGCCGCUGUGCGCAUGUGUGAAAAUGUCUUGACGCCACUGUCCUGAAGCUUCAUUAAUGAAGCUAUGGAAAGGUGUGACUCUUGGGGCUUCAACAUGCUCCAGUAAACAGUCCCGCACCCAGAGGAACACAGACACAUAAACUGGAGUUGAUGGGUUACUGAAUUUUUUUUAAAGGACACGUGAGGGUGAGGAUACAGGGGUGGAUGUGGGCGGAGCUAAGGAGACGAAACCAUGAUUAAAAUACAUUGUGUGGAAUUCCCAAAAAAUUAAGAAAAGUAGAGAAGAAAAUACCGCACUGAAAAUCCAUUGUUUUGUUUAGUCAAUAUACAGAAAUAAAAGUAAAACAAAAUUUCAGCGUGGUGUGCAAACACUGUACUCUUGAUGUCUCUUCGAAGUUUGAUGACUGAGCAGUGUUGAUCACAAGUAUGCAGAGUUUACUAGAGGAAGUGGGCACACACACACACACACACACACGCUUCUCUGUUCUGUUCCUUUGGAGUCUGCACUUGGUCCCUUCUCAUCACUUACCUCUGUCUAAGGCAUUGGAAAUUGUCAGCAUCCAUCCAAAUGACUCAACUAACAUGAAUGGCAUGCUGGGAACUACGAGGUGACUCAGAGGAGAAGGCGAGGGUCAGUCAGGAGUAGGCUAGCAUGCUGUCGUUGGCACUGGUCUUUUCAGUCGGAGUACAGAGUGUACUCCCGGAAAAGUCUAACUUUGUUAGGUUUGCUAUCUACAAAGAAGUGCUACACUAAACAAAAGCAAAACCAACUGUCUUGACUCCAUGGUGUGGAGAGCUUGGUGUAAACGAAAUGAGCAAGGUCUGUUGCAUUCAAAUCUUGUAUAAAACACUCAGCAUGAGAGAGGUCAGAGCCAGUGUUAACCGUCUUGGUGAGGGCCAGGGUGAGCCAAGCAUUCCCAAUUCCUGUUUUGACGUCUCCCGCUUCAUGCUUGUAGUAUCAGGAGGUGGUAAGGAGCCUUUUUGUUUCCUUUCCUUUUGUUUUGUUAAAUUAGUAGGUGCCAGAUCCGACCAAUCGACAUUCCAAAAUCCAACCUGUCACUAUUUUUAAAUUCUCCCCAUUUAUUUGUGCCCUAGGUAUAAUUACAGAUUUGGGAGCAGGGGUACAGUAGAAUGCAGAGAAAAUAUGCACGACUACUCUGGGCUGUCUUUUUUUUUUCUCCGUUCUAAAGCAGAGGCUAGAAAACUUGGGGUCAGCUUGUCUACUUUCUUAGGAUUUCACUUCAGCAGGACUGUGGGCAGCUUCUCUGACCCUCUCUUUCUUCUCUCAGGAUCCUGACUCCAGACAGUUUGAGCAGGAAACGCUCAAUGCCUGUUUCUCUCUCGGCCUGGCUUCAUUUAUCUCCUUUCUUCUCUGUCACAUCCACAUCUCUCUAUGUCUAACUCCAUCUUCACAGGCCUUCCCUGGAACCAUCUGUUGAAGAUGUAAUUAGGGACAGUCCUCUGCCUGUCUGAGAAUGACCCUUGGGGUUUGCACAGAGUCUGGGCUUCCUCUUCUUGUGUGGGAGAAUGGCCUUCUUUGUCUCUGGGGGUGUUCUUAGCACCCCUUUUACCACUUGGCUACCUCACAAACAGCAGCUUCUUGUGAGAACAUCUUUACCAGUGGAGGCUCAGCCACAUGCUGCCCCGUUCUAUAAUCUGGUCAGGAAUUCUCGGUCUAGAGAUGCUCCUCAGAGAACUGUUGAGAUGUCUUGAUAACCAGCCCACCUGUUUUUAUGAAUGCUAUCCAAAACUGCACUUAUUAUAGAAAACCAACAUUCGAAGUCAACCAUGAUUAUGUGUGUGUCCGUUUGUGUGCCUUGUGUGUUUAUAAUCAACCUUGUUGAGUUACUGUGGUUUAUAUGCAGUAGUGAGUUUUUAGGUACAAACUGUCUAAAUAAUGUGCUAAUAAUCCAUAUGCUGUCUCAAGAGAUCAAAGACUCAAAGAAAACCACAUGUUGGGGUAACAUCUUCUCAGCUGAGCGGAGGAACGGGACAGAACGCAUCACUAGGAAUCACACAAGCAGGAGAUUGCAGUGCUGGGGGCAGGAGGUCUUUGCAGGCAUUUCUAGUUUGUUGGCUCCUAAACGAGGAAAGCACUUUUACGAGAAAAUAGUGCUAGAAAGACAAAAAGUAAAAAGAAAAGCGGUUACCCCUUUAAGAAACUGCUCAGACAUCUUCAGAGCUGGCUUUUCUUUGAUUUCAGCUAAAACUGAGGAACUUUGUUAGCGUCUAGUCAUCCUUUUAGGCAACCUAAAAUAAGCUUGCCCGUUAGGAUGUUGAACUGAGCAUGCCCAGAAGUGUUAGCAUCUACCUUUCUUUUUCUUGAACAUGUACUCUAUGACCUCGAACUGAGCAUGCCCAGAAGCAUACUUUUCCACCAUCUUUCUUUUAUAGCCCUGUGAUGCUCAAUUUUAAGCCUCAAAAUUUGCUGACAUUGUUUCUGUUCUGAAUAUAUGAUCUCUAUGUGACCUUGAGUUGAGCUUGUUUAGAACUGUCCCUACCUCUACAUGGACUUUCUUGUAAAACUAUAUUUCAGGAUUCCUACACUCAAUCCCAAGGUUCCCUCUGCUGGGAAAAGCAUCGCUUGCAAAUUACCUUAGUAUUCUCUUUGCCUAAUGCAGUUUGUAAGUCUUCCUCUACUCUUUUAUCUCUUUUAUCUUUUGGCUUUGCAUUCACAAGAUUAAAAACCGGCUCUGGGCAGUGGCGACAAACACCUUUAAUCCCAGCACUCAGGAGGCAGAGGCAGGCGGGUCUCUGAGUCCAAGACAAAUCGGCUCUCUAGAGCAAGUACCAGGACAGCCAGUGUUACACAGAGGAAUCUUGUUUCAAAACAACAACAAAAAGAAAAAAAAAAAAAAAAAAGGAGGGGAGGUGGGAAGAGGAGGAGGAAGAUAAAAGAGGAGGAGGAAGAGGAGGAAAAAUCUUUGCAUUUGAUUACGAAUGAUUAAAAUAAAGUCAUAACUAGAAGAUAUCUGUUCACUUUUCAAAGGUAUCUGCUAUGGUAGUCAUUGUCCUUAUGCCUAAAAUAUUCCAAAUCCCUAUAUGUGUUUCUCCACAAAAGUUCUGAAGACCAUACCUCAGAAGUACCUCUUUCAAAAGGAAGAUCGAAUCUCAGCAGGUGCUUCUGGUGAGCCUGGAGGUAGAGCUCUUGCACUUUGGGUAUGAAUAGGCCUUCACCUUGUAUGGAAACCACCAGUCAUUCUCCCCCCAGACGUGAUGUCUUCUUACUGUUGUUGUUGGUAUUAGCACCACUUUUUAGUCCUGAGGCCAGUGCUGACCAUGGUUAUGAGGCCAGCCACAUUUCCCUUCUCUUAGCAGACAUCAACUGCCAGUAACUCUGGCUUAGGGAAUGGGCUUGGUAUCAUAGUUUCAAAGUUUCUAAAUUACCUUAAGUUAAAGCCAAAGUUGAGGUACAUUGCUGGUAAGUGUUCAAUUGUUGCUGCUGCUUUCGAGAUAGGGUCUCCCUUGUGUAGUACACGGCUGGUCUAGAGCUCAGGGCCUUCUUCCUUAGCCUAGUGAAUGCUGGGAUUCUAUAGGUGGGUCUCACUAUAUCGAGUUUAUAACAUUCAGAUACAUUAAUAGCAAGCACCAUAGCCACCAAAUGCCAAGACUGUUUGGCUAAAGUUGAGUACUUUAUGAGAAGAUUAUUAUGAUGAUUAUGAUGAUUAUUAAUUACUGUUAUUGGUAGUGAUGUUGGUACCGGGUAUGGAACCCAACACAGUAGAUGUGUGAGGUAGACACUGUACCACUGAACUAUAUCCCUAGCCUUAGACAGUCCUUGGAAUUGGAUCUGGGCAUUUGACUACACCAUAUAGUUUAAUAUCACAACAGGAAUUCUAGGAUUCAGUGUCCCAAAAGACAGAAUAUUUUUCCAUCCCAUGUUGGUGAAAGAGCAGCAAUAGGGCCCAAACUCACAUUUUAAUCGACUCAAAAGCAAACACAAGUAGAAUGUAUUUUCUCCACUUGUCACAAAAUUUCUAACUUCAAAGCUUUAUGGGAAUCUAAAUCUUAAAAUCCAAUAUGUCUAACAAAGUCAGCAGGGGUGCUUAUACCAUUUGGUUCCGUCUCAUUGAUCUCUGGGACUUCCGUCUGGAGCAGAUCUAUGCUCCAGAUGCAGCUGACGCUGUGACGCCCCAUCUGGCUGGGGCUGUUUAUCUCCUUUAAUAAGCAAGGUUUAUAACCUUCACGGGAGCAAGUGACGACAGGACUGGCUCGACCUUUGAGGACAGUCUCUACCUCAGUUAAUGAGCCCAACAGAUUCACCAGUGAGGAAGGUCUCAGACCACCCACCCCACAGCAAACAUCGGGGGAGGGCAGUGGGAUGCCCUUCUGGCCUAGUGGCUGCUCUGUAACGAGCUCUGUGUCCAGUCGGUAGGUCCUGGUGUCUAGGAGGAAAAGAGUUAAUGAAAAUAGGCCGGCAACUCCUUGGAAAGUCUGAGACAUAGACAUAUGCACGUUAUUUUGUUCGAAUGAGGGACAAGAAGGCAAAAAGAGCAAAAGAAACUCUGAAUUUCAGAAGGCAUUUGUUUAAAUGGGGUCCUCCUAGUGUCUUCCCCUUGACCUUGUCUCGCAGACAGGGAGAUUGCAGUUGCACACACUGUGGAAGCUUUCAGAGGGGGCCAAAGAGCAGGAAUUCAAUGUGAUCAUUGCUAACAUCCAUUUACAACCAAAUCCCUCCCUCCGCCCCUGGGGAGAGUAAUUAGAUUUAAUGGGCAUAGAGCUUUGGAGUGAAAGUGCAUGGGAUUUGAUUUACUUAACUUAAUUAGACCUAUACUUUGGGUUAUCUCAUUCAAAUGUGUUUCCAUUUCAGCUUUGACUCCUGGCCUUAUGCCACAGACCAAGUUCCCCGACCAUGAAGCAACGAAGAGCCCCUCACUCUUCACAGUCCUCCACAGUAGCCAGGGUCCACUGUCUCAGGUCCUCCCAACCUGAUGUCGCAUGGUGGCUUUAUAUAGCAUGAGCAUCCCUCGGGACUUUUUGUUUUUGUUUGUUUUUCUUUGUCAGGGUUUCUCUGUUUUCCCACGGCUGUUCUGGAACUCUGUAGAUCGGGCUAGCCUCAAACUCACAGAGAUCUGCCUAGGUUGCCACUGCCUGGGGCUCUCCCCAACAGUAGUUAGUGCCUAGCCUCCUCCUUCAGAGCCUCUGUUGAUGAUGCCAUGGAAUGUGACUUUCAAGGACAUCCAGUGUCCCUCCCAAGGGCAAAGGCCUUUGGGACUCUUGACAGCACAUGAGGCAAGAACCAAAUGUUUUCAUGACAGGAUGAAAAUCAGUUCUGCACAGCCAAGCAGGGUACAUUUUUUUUUUUUAAACAAAGGGAGACGGCUAUUCAAGCUCACGAUUAGCUCACACAGUGGCUUCCAUCCACCUUUCACAGGCUGACUUUGCUUUGGUGUUUCUCUCCACUGAACAUUGCAUGUAGUGGCAAGGGAAGGCUGACAGAAGGAAGAUGUCUGCUAUGGGCAACUAAAUAGGACUGAAGAAGAAAGAUCAUUUGAAAGACACCAUUGAGGAGUCGAUGCAUGAAUACUUUUAUGAAUUUAUUGACAUCUCAUUAUUAUUCAUCCUAAGCUUCCCUUGUAGGAAAACUAGAGCGUGUUUAUCUACAAAAUAAAGCAUAAUCCUUUCGGAUCACCACUUUAUAUUUGCAAGGAUUAAGCAGAACAAUGUAAUGUAUCUAGAAGUUUUAACGCAUUCCACACAGUAGUCAUCAACCCCAUUAUUAUCAAGUGGAGUCAGUAGUUAUUGCUACUCUUACGUGCAUAUACUCCAAGAAUCUGGCACUAGGCGUUUUUAGUGGAAUAUGCUACAUUUGGUUUAAUUUUCAACUGUGUGGUGUGUGUGUGUGUGUGUGUGUGUGUGUGUGUGUGUGUGUGUGUGUGAUUCUACCAUGUCUCACUGGGAUCAGACUCAGGUCUCCCAGCAGUAAGUGCCCUUACUUGCUGAGUUGCUCCACUGGCCCUUUAAUUUUUUAUUUUAUGAAACGAUUUCAGAAAGUUGCCUUUCUUCCAACACAAAGCAAUUGUUUUGCUUCACCUCCCCGAAGUGCUGGGACUCUAGACGUGCAGGGCCAUGUCUAGCAGUUUGAAUGCUUUCUAACAUCAAAGAAUUGCCGUAUCUUUCUGGAUAAGAUUAGAGAUUUAGUUGCUUCAAAGAUAUGACAAUCGUUGCAACACAUUCCAGACUGCAAACUGUGGUUGCUAGGGACUACAUAGAUAAGGGUAAAAAGUGGGCUGGUGACAAUUGUCAUUUUCUUUUCUAUUUUUGUCAUUUAGAGAGAAAAAUCAGUUUGGCAGAUGUUUGGGCCUAGGUCUGAAGUAUAAAAGCAACAUUCUAAAAAGGAAUUAGUUAGAGGAUGAUACCAACUUUGUUUGAUUGACUUCUGGAUGGAUUUGUUAUCCCAAAACUAUACUUUGCCAUUGUUCAGGGAAGCAUGGAUACAGAUUCUUUUUUUUUUUCUUUUUUCUUUUUUUUUUUUUAAAGAUUUAUUUAUUUAAUGUAUAUGAGUUCACUGUCACUGUCUUCAGACACACCAGAAGAGGGCAUUAGAUCCCAUUACAGAUGGUUGUGAGCCACCAUGUAGUUGAUGGGAAUUGAACUCAGGACCUCUGGGAGAGCAGACCGUGCUCUUAACCGCUGAGCCAUCUCUCCAGCCCAUGGAUACAGAUUCUUGUUCUAAUACAACCAUAAUGGCAUCCUGCCGGGUGAAGCAGGAAGAUCACAGAUGACAAGUUCCAAGCCAGCUUGGGCUCCAUAGUAAGUUUGAGGCCACCCCUUAGAGAUGACAGCAAAAGGCCCCUCAUUCCUUCCUGACUACAAGACAGAGAUCUCAGUACGAUGCUUAAUUUUCCUACCACGUAUAACAUCCCAGGAGAAACCACUUUCAAAAGGAAAUCUUGGUUAAAACCUGGCACUUUUGGAACCUAGCUUUAAAGACACAAUAAAGUCGUUGGAGAAAGGUAAGGGCCUCUAUUGUAGGGUUUUAUUUGUAGGAUCAAUGCUAUGUAAGCACAUGCUAUACAAGGCUGAAAGUAGAAAAAAAAAUCUGGGACUAAAUAUACCAUACAUAAACAAGUUGGGAAAAAAGCUAACCUUAAUUGGGUGAGCGCUCACCCAGGUUGUUUCCCCGCAAUAGGGAAGUCGCAGGACCUUCUCAUUUCUACCGUUUAGGAGAAGUAAAUGUGUGUCAGUGUGUGGCGCAUUUAAUUCUCUUCUCAUCUCAGAUUUUCACCUUUAAGUAGAUUUAUGGAGGUUUGCAGACCCACAGCUCUUACAGUAGCUUCUAAUUUUCCUUGUUCUAGAAGGAUCUAAAAAAGUGCUACCAAGAGAGUAGACAUGCUAAUGACAUAAGUUGCUCAUGUGUGUACACACGCCAUUGUAGUCAUUUACAUUGACUGACACAAAUCUGUGUAAGUUCAUCUCUAAACAAUAACCAUAAUUUAAAAAAAAUGAGGGUUUCUGUCGUUUGUUUGACACUGAAGCAAAGUUCAGCCACGAGGCUGGGCUUUUGUCGUGGAGCAGAGGCCGAAUUCCAGAUCUGGCACCUUAGGUCCCUGUUCUCACAACUCCUGUAACUUGGGUUUUAUACCUUAAUGCUGGGACAGAACACAUUAGGCACUCCCCCUCCCAGUUUCAUGGAUUUGUUGAAGACAGGGGCUGUCUAACCAUUCAUGGCUCUGGUAAAUGGUCCAAGGGCCACAUCAAAGAAACAGAUUCCAGAUUUUGUGUGUCUGGGGUGAGAGGCGGGGCUUUAUCUUGGACCUUUCUGGGGCAAUCACAGUGGGCUUUCUUCCUCAGACACAGGAAACACGAGUCUCCUCUCUGAGAGAUAAGCACAGUUGCUCUAAUUGAGGCUAACCUGAAAUGUGUAGUAGGAGGCCAGCCUUGGCUGUAUAGUGAAAGUUGAAACUUUACACACAUGCACACACGCACAUAUAUUUAAAUUUUCUUUUCUUUUUAAAAAGCAGGCCAUGCUAUGACACAUGUACAUGCUGCCAGCACUGGGAGAAUCCAUGCCAAUUCCGGACCAGGCUGAUCUAUGUAACAAGUUCCAGGACAGCCAGGAUCACAUAAAAACCAUCUCUUCCUCACCCAUGGCACCCAAACGACACUAACAAAUUUGCUUCCUUGUUUAGAACCUUCAAUGCAUCCAAGGGUACUUGGUAUAAAGGCCAAAGGCUUCACCUGUCAGUAAGACCCCAAGUAAGGUGUCUCUUUGCCUUUCUCUGCCUGUGGAGCCCUCUCCCUCUUGUGAGCUCCAUCUCAAUUCACACAAGCUCUUCUUUAGUUCCUCAAACCAGACCAGCUCCUUGCUGCCACAGCGCCUUUGCCCUGCUGUCACUCCUUUCCAAAUCGCUACAGCCUGGUGCCAGCCCUUCUGCCGAAGUUGGCUGCACUUGUCUUGUCUCUGUUGAGAGGCGAAUUAUUUAGUUUGAACUGAAUGCCUAAAGGCCAGUAGACUCCUCCAGUUGGCCUUGGGCUGUCAAAGGUCUUACAGUCUUGCAGCCUAGACAAACACCCUUGUGUCAUCCCCCCUUGAUCCAGGAAUUUGGAAUUCAGUCCCUGGACUAAUUACUUCCUACUAGUGAAUGGGUGGUCUGCACAGAUGACACUUCCUGAAGGAAGCCCUCCUUUCAUCCCCCCCAACUCUUAGCUGCACCCCCUGCCCAUGCUCUCCCUAUAUUUACAACUACAAUUGCAAAUUGUACUCACUCCAUCAGCAGUGGGUGGGAGCUGCAUUCCCAGCUAGAAGGAACAAUACAAAAGGGUAACAACUGUGAUCUGGUGCUCUGCACACAGAAGGUGCUCAAUGGUUGCACUGGCAGAUGAUAAAAGGACAGAUAGCACUAACCACUGAACCCUGUAAAUCAUUCUGUGAAAGUGCUAAAUGAGGAUUAUGGAAAAUGUUUUCCUAGGCUUGGUAGAGUCUAGCCCUCCCUUCCAGCAGACACAGGGCAAUGCAGUGACUCUGCUUUUACAAAGACUCUGCUUUUGUACUGCUGAAUAGAGUCCCAUAGGACAGAAGGAAUGGGGAAGGGCAGGGUCCUACACUCCCCAUGCUUGUUGAAACCAGAGCAGCUCUGCCCCCCCCCCCCCCCCCCCCCGCCCUCCUUGGAACAGGGCCUUACUUUCUAUUCUCUGGAAUUCACUACUGCAACCAGGCUGCUCUCGAAUCCAUAGCAAGCCUCCUGUCCCAGUGGCCAAGCACUGGAAUUGUAGGAGAAAGCUACCACACCCUGAAUCUUCCCUCGUUAAUAAUUGGCUUUUGUACAAAAUCAUCGGAACAAAGCUUCCUCUUGCUGAAGCAUGCUUGCCUUAUUGAUUUCAGGAUCUCUAGUCCCUGGUUUUGCACUUAGCUCUGCGUGUGUGAUCAAUAAGUGUUUGCGGGAGAAUGCCUUUGUGUUGUAGUCUACUUGUAAGUGAACACAUGUUCAAAGAUGAGCUGUCGGCAGCCCAGGAUCGCCUCCAACUUGCCGUGUAGCAUAGGCUGCCCUGAGCUUCGGAUCCCCUUCCCCUACUCCCUGGUACUAGGAUUACAGGUGUGAGCCUCGACCUGGCUCCCAUUUAGUUUUUCUAAUUUUAUAAAUUUUAUAAUUGGGUUAGAAAAAAAUCUAAACUAGGCAUAUUUGCCUUAGGUACUAAAACCCUCGUUGUAUCUUGUCAGCUUUUUAUGGUAUGUUGUGCAUAUCCUUACCCUCUGAACAAUGAUGCAGCUGCUUAGUUAUUAUUAUUUUUCCUUAGCUAUACUUCUUUCUGUUCAUUAACAAAUCUGCUCUACAAAAGAAACAAAGGCAAUAAGAGUAUAAUGAGAUGGGACUACUUCGAUUUGCUUAAUUUUCUAUCUUAUGUAUUAUUUACUCAACCACAAAACUAUGCUUCUAAAUCUCUCACGUCUCCUAAAUAGCAGGUACUGUUACUUCUAUUGCAAUGAAUUUAUUAAUGACUUAUCAUAUACAUAGCAUUAUGAAUGGGGUUUGGAAUUGCACACUGAGUAGAGGACUUUUUGGAAGAGCACGCUUUAAUUUUUGGAGUAAUUUUGAAAAAAACUAGCUACUUAAAUCUUAAGUUGCCAUAUCAUAAAAAUCAAAAUAUUAAAGAGUUGCAAAGAAUCUAAAUUCUACCAUUUGUGACUGGAUAGCAAAGCAAUGUGUGGUGGUCAGUGGAACACUGUCCCUAACAGCCCCACCUAAUGAGCAUUUAUUAAUAUCCCUAUUUGAUUAAAAUGUAAUGAAUUUUUUUCUCUAAAAAACCAGAGCUGACAGAGGGGUGCUGACAUCCUGCCACACAGCACCCUUUGCAAGUAGCUGAGUCAUUUAAGGAACUUGUUCUGCCUCAGAGUGUGGGUUCCACAUCUCGGGGGUUUCCUGUACAAGCUGGAUAAGUUAGAGAGGAACUCCAAAUGUGAAACCUGAGAAUCUCAAGGAGAAAACCCCAAAUUCACGAUUCUCCAAUGAAGCAAGCUGUAGUUUGGGGUGCACCUAGGAAUGGCCUGCCAACUGACUCACCUUCGGUCAGGAUUUGAGAGAGCAGCCCCUGCUGGUCUCUUGAAGCCCCUCCAACAAGGGACAUAAAGUGUUCUCCGGGCGGGGCGAGAGUGGCUGUUUUGCGUUGUUAGAAAGACACACUGAAAGGGAAGGAAUGGGUAAGGAUUACAUCAUGUGAUGGGGUUGCAGGAAGUUUACAUCAGAUCUAAGAAACAGGAACUGAUUCUUAAUUUCAAAUAGAAACUUAACCUUGCAAGAACUUAACCUGGGACAAAAAAGAAGAAGAAGAAGAAGAAAAAAAAAACGUACUUUUUAACUAGGAUUUAACACAACAAACAGGAACUUCUCUUAAUUACAAAUAGAAACCUUAACUUAAGAAGGGCAAACAGGAACUUCCUCUUGACUGUCUUAGAUGUAAACAGAACCCUUAACCCGCUUGGUAUUUUGUUCCUACAGUAUUCUUCUGUUCCAACCUCUUACUCUCCAGGAGAAACAACAGAGACCCAGGGAGGCCUGCACCUGCGGAGUUGAGCUUCAAGGAAGAUGCGUACUAGAGGAGUCACACUCGACUUCGUCAAUAUUUCACAAGAAAGCUAGCAGUUCCCAGACCAGCGCAUGCUCAGCAAAGCACCGAGUCGCAGUAGCACGCAGAAAAUGGGACUGUCAAGACAACCAGUCCUGAGCUAUGCAACAGGCCCAGAAGGGCUGCUGGGGGCACAGAUGUUGACAUUUUCACCUAAGUGUCAUCCAAGACAGAGUUACAGUCCCUUCUGCUCCUUGCCUCUGCCUUACGUCUCACCCAUGUUUCUGAAACUCUCCUGCCUGUAUCUCAAAAAGUGUACACCUUAAAAACAGAGGUGGUUGCUUUCUUUACCCAGGUUUAAGCUAACUACCUAUACUCGCUUCCACAUACACCUUCCUUACAGUUAGACUACCACUGUCCAAGUCAGUCUGACUCUGAGGAAUGCUAGAGGUUAGUUGUAAAUGCUAUGGAGUCUUCCUGUGAGAACGUCACUCCCAAGUAGAUAUUUACAGCUCUCUUAUCCAUACGAGCAUGCUUCAGACAUGCUGGGGUCACAAGUGUGAGCGACAACAUCCGGCCUACACUUAUUCAUCUACUUUAAGGGUUUAUUCAGUUUUGUGUAUACAUGUGAAUGCCUGCAUGUGCGUUUAUGUGCACUGUGUUUACGCUUAGGGUCCCAGAAAACCAGAAGAGAGUGUUGAACUCUCUGGAACUGGAGUCACAGGCUGUUGUCACUGUAUGGACGUUGGGCACUGAACCUCGUUCCUCUGCAAGAGCAGCAUGAGUUCUUAACGGCUGAGGUAUCACUCCUGCCUCAGUCCACACUUUUCUAUUGUGGAUUACUCUUCUCUGUCUAAACCAUCACGGUUCAUCUACUGACACCCUUCCUUGUCCUUCAUUGAUGUUCUUCUUCCUAGAGUGCCCGGCAUCAUGUCAGGCACACGUGUUCUCAGUAGAUCAUAAAUGUUUUGUGAGGAAGUGCACACAUGCAUGUGAACACAUGCCGGGCACAGGCAACUUCAAAACCCAGAGUGUGUCAGACUGACCUUGGAUGGGCACGGGAAGUGAGGUGUGUCGGGGGACCAUCUGUUUGCUCCACCUGUCAAGCUGCCUCUGAGGAGGCUCAUACAGCAGUGUGUGCCUCUUUACCACAUUUUUCUAUCAGCAACAUUAAGAAGUUCAAACUGAAGGACACUUCAGGUCCCUUCCAGCCCCAGUCCCUAAACUCUACCACAUAUAACAGUAAUUCCGAAACAAAAUAUAGCAGGCAUAUCAGCCUUGUCUUUGCAAAAGGAAUACACCAAACUGUCAUCCACAGGGUUUGUUAUCCUGUUAGGAUGGCAUUGACAAUGCUGUACAAUACAGUGAGAAGUCUUCUGUGAUGUUAGCUUGGUUAGCCACAGGGGCAGAAUGUUUUUCUAGUUCCCAAGCAAAUAGACAAACCAACAGACAAAAUCUUUAUUAACUCUUGUGAUCUGCAUGAGCUGCAUGAAUUGGAUCCUGGGAGCAUGAUAGUAUCAAGUAUCUGGUUGCUGCCCUUUAAUUAUGCAUGCAGACCUAUAGGCUUCACUCGCACCUGUAUAUGUGUAUGUGUAAGUGUGUUUAUGAAGGCAUGUGUGUGAUUGUGUAAGUGUAUGUAUGUGUGAGUAUAUUUGUGUGCAUACGUAUGAGUGUAUGUGUAAAUUUGUGAGUCUAUGUGUAUGUGAAUGUAUGUGAGUAUAUGUGUAUGAGUGUGUGUUUCAGUGUGUGUGUAUGUGUGUAUGUGAGUGUGUAAGUGUAUUGUGUGAGUAUGAGUGUAUGUAAGUAUGUGAGUGUAUAUUGUAUGACUGUGUAAGUGUAUUGUGAGUGUGUAUGAGUGUGUAAGUGUAUUGUGAGUGUGUAUGAGUGUGUAAGUGUAUUGUAUGUGUGUACGAGUGUAUAUACAAGUGUAUGUAUAUGUGUGUGUAUGUAUGUGUGUAUGAGUGUGACUGUAAGUAUAUUGUGUGUGUGUAUGAGUGUGACUGUAAGUAUAUUGUGUGAGUAUGUGUAUGAGUGUGUAAGUGUAUUGUAUGAGUGUAUAUGAGUGUCUGUGUAUGUGUGUGUGAGAAUAUGUGAGUGUAUAUGAGUGUGAGUGUAGGUACAUUGCAUGAGUGUGUGUAUGAGUGUAUGAGUAUGUAUGUGUGUGUGUGUGUGGUAUAACAGACAGUUAAAUAAAGCAUAGGUUAGUGGGACAACAAAAAGUUUUAUGGACUCUGUUCUUGUUUUGUUUCUCCAAAGCCCAGUUAGCUGUCAUUGGAAUGUUAUUUGAAAAUUAUUACACAGGGACAGAAAUGGCAGGUCAGGCUCUUUAAUUUGUGUCAGUGGUCUGGGUCACUGCACACAGAAGAGGAAAUAGAAUUUAUUGAGGAAUUCUGCUUGUCCAUGGCUUCAUGUUCUGAGGUUUACCUUCUCCCAGAUGAUGGUGUUUUGCUAUUGGAUUUGAUUUUGAUUUCUUUUUUUUUCCCUUUAUGCCUUUAACUUUGGAGUGAUUUUUCAAUAAAUGAAGUUUUAGGUUAUGUACUUAAUACUUAAGAAUCCAAAUUUCUAUGCUUUUUUUAUAGCAGGUAAAUAUUUCCAAGUAUUCCUCUUGAAAAGCAGCCCUGCUGUUAACAGAUACAAACGUGAAAUAAUCAAUUGAGAGCAUGCACAGAUUAAUUGUUGCUUUAAAAACAUCUGGAAAAGCUACUUUGAGUUCAGCAUUUAGGAUCAGUGUAUUAACACAUUUUAUAAACUGAUGUUUUUCAACUCUCUUUGACCAUACCUGCUCUCAUAGUAACCCAUGUUCUGUGGCUCUGAACAAAUUUUACUGAAAUUAUUUUUCUUACAGUGAAUGAAAAACUCAUUUUUUUCCUAAAAAGUAUCUGUUAUUUGGUAUGGUGGCACACAGCUGUAAUUCUGAUGCUUGGGAUUAAGAAGCAGGAAGAUCCUAAGUUUGAGGCCAGCCUGUGCUGUAGUAAAUUCCAGGCCAGCGUGGGUGAUAGGAUGAGACCUUAUCUCACAUAACAGAAAUGAAGUCUGCUGUGAACUAAAUUGAUUCAGGACCCACUCAUAAGUGGUGACCUACAGUUUGAAAAGUUCUGUUUGAAGCCAACAAAAUCUACCAAGCACAUAUACAUGUGUCUGUCUGUGUGGUUGUUUGGCUUUGAAGAAGACAUGACAAAGGAGUGGCUCUCCUUUAUCUUUCUCUCACAAUGUCAAUGAAUGCUGAAGCCAGGAGCCACUGCAGUCCCCCAGGACACCAUCUCCCUCUUUAACCAGUGCCUUUCUCAAGGCCCCUGUGUUACCGCUGAGGGUGGGUGAAGCUGGUCUUAUCUGAGGAAAGGGGAACCCCCUCUUCACAUGGGUUCCCCCACAGUGGGCUCUGGGGACUGAAACAAAGUGGAAAGAAAAGCCUCCCUGUGUCUAGCUAGUUGGCUUAAGAUGGUGAACUGGGAGGAAGCUAUGUCACCUCUCAGUCCCAUUGCUGUCUGUCUGUUCGAUGAGGAUCCUGCUGAAGGCUCAGUCCCAGACUUGUUGUCCAUGGUUGGUUAUUGCUUUCCUGGGGUAGCCUCAGCUGUGUCAGAGAUGACAGACAAUACUCAGCGAUAGCUAGUAUUUUCUCUUCUUGAGCACAGAUGUAGUGAGACCAUCGUUCCUGGAAGGUACUGUAAUCAUGUGACUGAAGCCAUGGACAUGUGUGAGCUGAUGUGUGUUCCUUCCGUGCUUGGUCCACAACCUCCUCCCCCACCAUGGACCUUUUCCUACAUGUGCUGUGACUAAGCAGAAAGAACUCUGGUAGCUUUGAGGAGGGAGAAUCUCCCACCACUCAUAUUAUGAUAUAGUUUGAGAAUGGAAUUCCUCCCUCUCUCCCUCCCUCCCUCUCUUCCUCCCUUCCUUUCUCUCUAUCCCCUUCUCUCUCCUUCCUUUCUCUCUCCCUUCUUCCCUUCCUCCUUCCCUUCUUCCCUCCUGCCUUCCCUUUCUCCCUCCCUCCUUCCUUUCCUCCCUCCCUCCUUUUCUACUCCCUUUCUCCCUCCUUUCCUUUCUCCCUACCCCCUUCUCUCUCCUUCCUCUCUCUUUUAGAUGGGUUCUCUAUAUAUAAUUCUAUCGGGCCCAGAACCAUUGUGUAGACCAGGCUGGUCUUUAACUCACAGAUAUUCACCUGCCUCUGCAUCCUGGGAUGAAAGGCAUGUGCCAGGGCACCCGGGGGAAUUCUUUCUUUUUUAAUUUAAAAACAUUUUUUGACAGCUAUUCCCCAGGCACUUUCCCUGCUGUUCUACUGAACAGCAAUAGAAAUGAAAGCAGCUGGUCACCCUCACCGAAGCAGUGCAUAAUGAAAGGUGCUGCAUUUGUUCAAUGGGUUCUAUUCCACUGUAAAGGAAACAGGAUGGACAUUUUAGGUACGUGGAUAAGUGAGCCCACACAGACCCACAAACUCCACACGUUCUCUCUUAUUUGUGGAUCCCACGUCUAAAUCUUUAGAUGUGAGUAUCUAACCUGCAGGAGCCAGGAAAGCAGGAAGGGGCCACAAGAGGAGGAAGGGACCAUAAACAAUAGCUCUAAGGGGAAGACAGGAGACACAGGUGCUAUGAUGGAGAAAGGGGAAGGGAUAUAUGUGUAUGAUGAAGAGGAGGGGAAGGAGAGAUAAAUAGGACCAUGGACUAGAACUAAAUAGUCAAGCUAGAACAGAUCUGGAAAUGCCCUCAUACAGAACGAACAGCCUCUCACGGUAUCCGAAGGCUCCUGUAAUGCUCAUCUACAGCCCUUUUCGUCCUGUUCCACACUUGGAAAGAUGCUAUGUCAGCAGUGCGGGUCGUAGAUGCUGCCUGGAGAGGGGCAUAGUUACGAGGUAGCCAUAUUCUGAAGAGAUAGGAGAUACGGACACAUGAACUACAUUUUCCAGGUAUUUCUGCUGCAUAUGUUAAAAUACCUAACAGGGACUGACAUAACCAGGGAUCACUAAAAUAAUUAAAAUAACCCGAGAGCUGCCCUCCUUAGCUUAAGAGUGAAGCUGAAUCCAGACUAUACCACACCCUGGUGAGCUAUGUGCUCACCUCCAACCGAUUUUGCCAGUCAGAAGUAAACUGUAAGUCAACAGUAGAGUUACUUUUAUUUACUAUGUUUUAAUUACAACACUAAUUAAUUGAUUUUUUUGAAACUCUUUUAUUUAUGUGAAUGAGUGUCUGGCCUAUAUGCCUGAUACUGGCCCAUGAUGUUCAGAGAGGGUGUGAGACCUCCUGGAACUGAAGUCAUCAUGUAAAAAUCAAACCUGGGUCCGCUGGAACACCAGCCAGUGCUCUUUAAUGGCUGAGCCCCUUCUUAAAAGCAAAUGAGGCCAAUUCAAGUCUGACUGCCUGCCCUCCAGAGCCAGCUGCAUCUGGCCCAGAGAUGUGUUUGGUUUGGCUCUAAGAGUGUUUGAACAACAACCACCAAAAUUUGGGUUUGUUGAUACGGGCAGUUGCAUAUAAAAAUCUGGUUUUCUGGCAUCCAGAGAUUUGGUGGCCUAGGGAAAUAUUCUCACAAGGGAGGAUGCCUGGCUCCUGCCCUGUUUAGGUAGGUCAGGAACUGAUCAGGCCACUGUCCCCAACAGACCAUCUUCAGUCACGUGACGUUACUGAUCCAUCUGUGCUCCUGUGUUUACACUUGGAACAUGGAGAUGAGGUCAUUCAGGGGCCUACAAGCAUUUCUGCUGUUGUCACUUUAAAGAGAAUAGGUUUGCUAUGUAUCACUGUGUUACUUGAAUACUUAUAUGUCACUGUGCCUCCUUCCACCCAGUGAACUGGAAGCAUCAAGCAAACAUUAACCCUACUGUGGACCCCUUCCAACUAGGGUGUUACAUUAUGGGGUAAGCACAUGGCUAGAAGAGAGAGCCCCAAAGGUAACCUGGCAAAAUCAAGGCUCUCUGUGGUCCUCUGAUGGAGACUGAGCAAGUCAGUCAAGGGAGGAUGAAGGAGGAAACAAUGGGAGAGUGGAGGUCUGCAGGGGCCCUGGCUGUAGUCUCACACGAGGGAGGCGACGCUUUUCCGAGAAGACACAGCUUUGAGAUGAACCUUAGAGAAUAAGUAGCAGCUUAUGAGAUAAAGGAAGACUCUGCGAAGUCAGCAAGGACAAAAUGAGGGAAAGCUCGGCAUGUGAUUAAAAACAUGCCCCUGGCAUUAGGGAAGAAUGAUCUGGAAACAUCGUUUCUUCAACACAGGUAUCUUGCAAUAAAGGAACUUUCAGACCGGAUACGUAUUCCUUAAAGCCACUCAGAGUGACCCAGAACCCAUGAGAUAACCAGUGGGUCAAAUGACCUUGUCACUGAGCUUGGUGGCCUGAGUUUGAUCUCUGGAACACAUAUAAUGGAAAGAGAGUAAUAAUUCCUCUGAUUUUCGCAUGGGCACUGUGGCCCUUGUGCACACACACACACACACACACACACACACACACACACACACACACGUCCAAAGUAAAUAAUUAAAUAAAAUAAAGCGUGGCCUAUGGCUCACCAACAUCAGCAUCACUUGGGAGCUGUGGAAAUACAGAAUCUGGGUCCUGGGGGUGAGGUUUAGUUGAUGGAAUGCUUGGUUAUCAUCUACAAUGAAGCUACAUCCCCUAGCAAUGCAUACACUGGGCACAGUAACACACAUCAGCAAUCGGCACUGAGGAAAUGGAGACAGGAACAUCAGAAGUUCAAUGCCAUCCUCAGUUACAUGAGGACAGCUUGAUAUACCAGGGAGACUGCCUAUAAAAUAAUAAGAAAGAAAGAAAAAUGAAAUACAGAAUCACAGGAUCCAGGGAUGAAGCCCAGUGAGGUAGAGUGUGAGGCCUCGGGUUCCAUUGCAGAGAGUAACAAAAGGAGGGAGAGAGGGGAGGGAGGGAGGGAAAGAGGGAGAGGGAGAAGGAUAGGGAGAGGGAGAGGGAAGGAGGGAGAGGGAGAGGGACUGAAUACAACAUACCAGGGGUUCAUAUAACCAGUGAGAAGCAUGGCUUCUGCCAAUGAUGAGGUUGAGGCCAGAUAACACAAAAGCAAUUUCUUCCUUCCUACGUAUUUGCACAAACGAGACCACACUGAUACGAGACUAGAAAGUAACGAGAACAGUUCUUGACGUGUAUGGCGGUUAGUGCUAGCUGCGAACUUGACAAAAUCUAGAAUUAACCUACCUAGGAGAUGGCCAGUGGGCAUGCUUGUGGGGGUAGUUAUCUUAAUUGCUUUGACGUUGGAAGACCCAACUUAAUUGUAGGUGGGAUCAUCCCAUAGGGAUUUUACACAGCUCCUAGGCUGUGUAAAAUGGAGAAAGCCAGCAGUACAUGUAUCUGUCCUUCUCUGUUUUCUGAUAGCAGGAUUGGUAUGAUUGGCAGCUUUAACCUCCCUCCACACUGGCUCUGAAUCGUCUGUCUUAGCUGUCUGAUGUCUGUAACUUGGAUGGUGAACCAGAAUAACCUCUUCUCCCUUAGGCUGCUUUUCUGAGAGUGCUAUCAUAACCACAGGAAAGGAAACUGAGAUGGGUGACCCAUUAUAAUCAUAUAAUUACUGUCAUUUUAUUUUCUAGACGAAAUUAUUGGUUUGCUAAAUAAACUGAGACUUGACUUGGUUUGCCUUUCAUUAAAACUUUUAGAUCAGAGCUAGGGAGAUGGCUCAGUAGCUAAGUGUGGUUGCCAAGCAAGUGUGAAGACCAAGGUUCAAAUCCCCAGUCUCCAUGUAAAGAGCUGGGUUUGGCUGCCUAUGUGUCUGUGACUCCAUUGCUUGGGGAAAGGAGGCAAUAGGUCCAGGUUCAGUAGCAGACCCUGUCUUAGGUGUGGAAGGUGGAAAGGGAUAUUCCAUGCUUCUUUGGUUUGCUCACACAUGUGUUUAUAUAUCAAAUACACACCCAUGCACUGGAUUUUCUAGUCAUAGGAAUAGUAGCUAUAAUAAAGAUACGUCUUGCAAAAAAUGGAACACAUUCUUGCUCUUUGAACUCACAAGCUAAUAAAAGUAACAAUUACCAAGUUACCAUUACAUUCACGAGUAUACUGAAUUUCUACUUCGUAACAGUAAUGUAAGACCUUCUGAUUUCUUUGUAACAUAGGUGACAAAUGGAUGUUUGUGAGAUAGGUACAAUUAUUGAGCACUUCUUUGCUUCUGUGUUAUUCAUUUUUCCUUCAAAUCAGGCAGCCUGAUUUACACUUUUACUUUUUGCACUUCU